UGAAAUUACAGAAAAUGAAAUUUCAAACCGAGGCCUGUGUUACGCACAGUUUCCUUAAAACAGAUUUGCCCCCUCACCGUCCGUGCUUGAGGUUUAAAACGAGCGUCCAUUUCUCAGGAUACAACAGUAAAACCAAUAGCUUCCGAGCACCGCAGAAACCACUCCGGCGAACUGAACUAGUGCCUGAACUAUACCACCACCAAGACAGAAAUGCAGAAAAGACAGAACUCUAUGCAAAUGAAUUCUUGUGUAUUCUAAACUUGAAAGCUUUUGCUUUAGUGUAUUGAAAUGAGGAAAAUGAGCCACUAUUUAUAGGCUAGGCUACCAUUAAUGGCAAUGACCUUUGGAGUUUCUCAUCUUUUUCCUAUGUGGGAUAAAUUCAUUUUUCCCACAUAAACUUCCUUUUGAGUGGCACACUUUGAGCCUCAAUUUCUCAUUCACCCGAGCAUCAUCUUUGGCAAGUAAGUAUAUGAUUUCGACGUACUCACGGAGGAGAACACAAAUCAACUUUCAUCUUCCAAAUUGAACAACCAGGUCCCACUCAAAACUCGUGCCAAAGUCGGCCCAUAACUCAGUUUUUUUUUCCAACAGCAACGACGGAGGAAGAAGAUCCAGGACUGGAAGGAGAUAAAAGGGUUGGUGUUGAGAAAGUUUCGUGUGACACAAGGAGGAGUGGGAGAGGAGAGAUUUCUAGCUCUUCGGCAUGAGGGCUUGAUGAGAGAAUACAGACAAUGGUUUUGAGUCCCUAGCAGCACCGCUAACAGAAAUCUCAGAUGGCUGUUGGAUGGAAAGUUUGUAAAUGGAUUAAAACCAAACGUGCAGGUUGAAAUCAGGUGUUAAGGCCAAAUGGGCUGGAGGAAAUCAUGGAUAUGGCCCAAUGAAUAGAUGAGAAAAAUCUGUUGGGCCAAAGGCAAGGGGAAGAAAUUGGGUAGUUUCUUGGUAGAACAAUGGACCUCUCGAAUGUCCAUUUAUCAUUUUCGUUCUUGUCAUUUACAAUUCAGU
rnacentral:lncRNA from 1 species